rnacentral:rRNA from 1 species
UAAGGAAUAUUGGACAAUGGCCGCAAGGCUGAUCCAGCCAUGCCGCGUGCAGGAAGACGGACCUAUGGUUUGUAAACUGCUUUUGAACGAGAGAAAACCCUUUUACGUGUAAGAGGCUGAUAGUAUCGUUAGAAUAAGCAUCGGCUAACUUCGUGCCAGCAGCCGCGGUAAGACGAAGGAUGCAAGCGUUAUCCGGAUUCAUUGGGUUUAAAGGGAGCGUAGGCGGACUUGUAAGUCAGUGGUGAAAUCUGUGGGCUUAACCCACAAACUGCCAUUGAUACUGCAGGUCUAGAGUACAGUUGCCGUUGGCGGAAUAUGACAUGUAGUGGUGAAAUACUUAGAUAUGUCAUAGAACACCGAUUGCGAAGGCAGCUAACGAAGCUGUAACUGACGCUGAGGCUCGAAAGUGCGGGGAUCAAAC